UAAUACAUGCAAGUCGAGCGGACCGACGGGAGCUUGCUCCCUUAGGUCAGCGGCGGACGGGUGAGUAACACGUGGGUAACCUGCCUGUAAGACUGGGAUAACUCCGGGAAACCGGGGCUAAUACCGGAUGCUUGAUUGAACCGCAUGGUUCCAAUCAUAAAAGGUGGCUUUCAGCUACCACUUACUGAUGGACCCGCGGCGCAUUAGCUAGUUGGUGAGGUAACGGCUCACCAAGGCGACGAUGCGUAGCCGACCUGAGAGGGUGAUCGGCCACACUGGGACUGAGACACGGCCCAGACUCCUACGGGAGGCAGCAGUAGGGAAUCUUCCGCAAUGGACGAAAGUCUGACGGAGCAACGCCGCGUGAGUGAUGAAGGUUUUCGGAUCGUAAAACUCUGUUGUUAGGGAAGAACAAGUACCGUUCGAAUAGGGCGGCACCUUGACGGUACCUAACCAGAAAGCCACGGCUAACUACGUGCCAGCAGCCGCGGUAAUACGUAGGUGGCAAGCGUUGUCCGGAAUUAUUGGGCGUAAAGCGCGCGCAGGCGGUUUCUUAAGUCUGAUGUGAAAGCCCCCGGCUCAACCGGGGAGGGUCAUUGGAAACUGGGGAACUUGAGUGCAGAAGAGGAGAGUGGAAUUCCACGUGUAGCGGUGAAAUGCGUAGAGAUGUGGAGGAACACCAGUGGCGAAGGCGGCUCUCUGG
rnacentral:rRNA from 1 species